CCUACGGGGUGCAGCAGUGGGGAAUCUUGGGCAAUGGGCGCAAGCCUGACCGAGCAACGCCGCGUGAAGGAAGAAGGCUUUCGGGUUGUAAACUUCUUUUAUCAGGGACGAAGCAAGUGACGAUACCUGAUGAAUAAGCCAGGGCUAACUACGUGCCAGUAGCCGCGGUAAUACGUAGGUGGCAAGCGUUAUCCGGAUUUACUGGGUGUAAAGGGCGUGUAGGCGGGAGUGCAAGUCAGAUGUGAAAACUAUGGGCUCAACCCAUAGCCUGCAUUUGAAACUGUACUUCUUGAGUGCUGGAGAGGCAAUCGGAAUACCCAGUGUAGAGGUGAAAUUCGUAGAUAUUGGGUAGAACACCGGUGGCGAAGGCGGCUAUCUGGCCAUUUACUGACGCUGAGGCUCGAAAGCAUGGGGAUCAAACAGGAUUAGAUACCCCUGUAGUC
rnacentral:rRNA from 1 species